rnacentral:rRNA from 1 species
GACAGAGGGUGCGAGCGUUAAUCGGAAUUACUGGGCGUAAAGCGUGCGUAGACGGCUAUCUAAGUCGGGUGUGAAAGCCCCGGGCUCAACCUGGGAAUUGCAUUCGAGACUGAAUAGCUAGGGUACGGUAGAGGGAAGUGGAAUUUCCGGUGUAGCGGUGAAAUGCGUAGAUAUCGGAAGGAACAUCAGUGGCGAAAGCGACUUCCUGGACCAGUACCGACGUUCAGGCACGAAAGCGUGGGGAGCAAACAGG